UGCCAUUUGAUCCACAUGGGGAUGGAAUGACUCCCCCAUCUCAGAGAUGAGGCCAAGAAGCUCAGAAGGUGAACUGUUUUAUCCACAGUUACCCAGCUGCAGGGCCAAAGAGCCAAAUUUUUUAUCCAGGACAGGUGAUGCUGAACCCCAAGCCCUUCUCACCAGGCUGGGACGCUGCACUGCGUGGAUGUUCCGUCUCCGUUGCUAGGGUAACCUCCCUCCCGGCCCAGCAGCCACCUCUCCUGGAGCGUGAUUCUUGCACCUGACAGCAUAAUCUUCUGUGACAUCUUAAUCAGCACCCCGGCAACCGACAGAGCCGGGACACCAGCAUCACACUCAGUGCUCCGGGAGCCAGCAGGGCCUGGAGGGCCCACCUCCUCCUCAGCCUUAACCCUUGCCUGCCCACCCCAACCCCUGGUGGAAUGGGGGGAUGGUGGUUGGUUUUGAAGUCAAACAGAUAUUGUUUCAGAUUUCAGCUUUACCAUGCCAUGUUUCUAAACUUCUGUUUCCUAAUCUGUACAGUGGGGAUAAUGAUGCCAGUCCGGCUAGUGUACAAAAUUGGAUGAGGGCAUUGCAAAAAGACGUGAAUGGGCCACAACAUCUAAAGGAACUGGGGCACCUGGGAGUUUUAUUUCCAUUAUUUCACUUGGAGCCAGUGGCUUUCAGAGCGGGGGGCCAGUGGCACCACAGAGCUGCCUUUGAAUGACCUUGGGUGAGUGACUAUUCACCCCCAUUAUAUUCUCCAUCUGUCAGAUGGAGACUGUGAUGUAAACCCCAUGUGGCUGGGAGGACUAACCAAGGUCCACAUCUCCAGGACCGCUCUUAGCUCAGUCUUUCUGAGGGAAACUGCCUGGCACCAGUCCGUGUUGAAGGUGUCAGCCUAUUGGAACCUGCCCUCUCAGAUAGGUAAGAUCCAAGGAUGUCAGCCGCAAGCUUCCAGUCCCUGGAUGAGAACUUAGAGUAGGGCCAAGAGAGCUCUCUCAGGGAUAAAAAUAGAGUUGCUAUGAAGAUGAAGUAAAUGAAGACAUGCUGAGAACUCAGAACAUGCUUGGCAACAGUAAUUGUUUCAUACGUGCUAUUAUUAACAAGUAAUAGUCUUUCCCA